rfam:Triticum aestivum genome assembly, contig: Triticum_aestivum_CS42_TGACv1_scaffold_211924_3AS
UUAAUACUCUCUCCGUCCGAAAAAGUUUGUCCCUCAAAUGGAUGCACCUAGCACCAAGUUAGUGUUGAUACAUCCAUUUAAGACACAAGGUUGGGACAAGUUUUUUCGGACGGAGGGAGUAGCAU